AAAUGCGGACCACCACCAAAAUCCACAAUGCAGAUACAAAAGAAAUGACAAAAAAUGAAUACAAUACGGAGGAGAGAGUUGAAUACAGCUGCUUUGAUAAAUACACACUGGAUCCGCGUCCCCCCUUCUCCAGUUACUUGACCUGUGUAAAAGGCGAAUGGAAAGGGAAAAUUUAUUGUUUAAAGCCCUGUAUAGUGACAGUGGAGGAAAUGGAUAAAAGAGGUAUAAGGUUGAAGUGGAAGUCAAAUGAAAAGAUAAUCUCAACACAUAAUGAUGGCAUCGAUUUGCAUGUCAGAGUGGCAAAAAAUUUAAAGCCCAAAACCUCCCAAGACCAACAUGUAAUGAUGGAGUGAUGAAUUUGCCUGAGUGUGAGGAAUAACACAUUGAUGAAGCAUCAGUUGUACUACUAAGCAAAAACAAAUGGAGCAGAUCAAAAUAAAACAUUUUCCCCAA